rnacentral:rRNA from 1 species
CCUACGGGCGGCUGCAGUGGGGGAUAUUGCACAAUGGGGGGAACCCUGAUGCAGCGACGCCGCGUGGGUGAAGGAGUGCUUCGGCAUGUAAAGCCCUAUCGGCAGGGAAGAAGCAAGACGGUACCUGACUAAGAAGCCCCGGCUAACUACGUGCCAGCAGCCGCGGUAAUACGUAGGGGGCGAGCGUUAUCCGGAUUCACUGGGUGUAAAGGGAGCGUAGACGGCCAUGCAAGCCAGGGGUGAAAGCCCGGGGCCCAACCCCGGGACUGCCCUUGGAACUGCAUGGCUGGAGUGCGGGAGGGGCAGGCGGAAUUCCUGGUGUAGCGGUGAAAUGCGUAGAUAUCAGGAAGAACACCGGCGGCGAAGGCGGCCUGCUGGACCGCGACUGACGUUGAGGCUCGAAAGCGUGGGGAGUGAACAGGAUUAGAUACCCCGGUAGUC